CCUACGGGAGGCAGCAGUAGGGAAUUUUGCGCAAUGGGCGAAAGCCUGACGCAGCAACGCCGCGUGAUCGAGACGCCCUUCGGGGUGUAAAGAUCUGUUAGUGGGGACGAAACUUGACGGUACCCACAGAGGAAUCACCGGCUAACUCCGUGCCAGCAGCCGCGGUAAUACGGAGGAUGCAAGCGUUGUCCGGAAUCAUUGGGCGUAAAGGGUUCGUAGGCGGGACGUAAAGUCUGGUGUUAAAGGCAGAGGCUCAACUUCUGUACGGCACUGGAUACUUGCGAGCUAGAGUGCGGUAGAGGUAAGGGGAAUUCCUGGUGUAGCGGUGAAAUGCUUAGAUAUCAGGAGGAACAUCGGUGGCGAAAGCGCUUUACUGGGCCGUAAUUGACGCUGAGGAACGAAAGCCAGGGUAGCAAAUGGGAUUAGAUACCCGGGUAGUC
rnacentral:rRNA from 1 species